rnacentral:rRNA from 1 species
UAUUGAGAUGAUGAUGAUUGAUGAAAUAACAACUGUCUCUAUUUUAUUUAAUGAAUUUAAAUUUUUAGUAAAAAUUCUGAAAUUUAAUUAUGGGACGAUAAGACCCUAUAGAAUUUUAUUUAAUAUAAUUAUUUAUUUAAAUUAUUUGUGAAUAUAUAAUUAAUUUAAAUUUGAUUGGGAGGAUUGGUAAAUAAAAAUAACUUUAUCUAAAAAUUAAUUUUGAUGAAAAGAUUUUUUUUUGACUUAUAAUUUAUGAUUAAAAGAAUAAAUUACCUUAGGGAUAACAGCGUAAUAUCUUUUGAUAGACCACAUUGAUAAAGAUGUUUGCGACCUCGAUGUUGGAUCAGGACAA